GUUUUUGGCGACGGAGUAUCUACUGCCAGAGUUUCCCCUGAUACACACGGAGUAGAGUCUUUCACUUUUGACUCAGUUGUUUCCGAGGUUCUUGACUGUCCAGUGGGCAAGGAUUCCUGUAAAGUGCUUUUUACUUCUUCUUCUGGUCGUUGUGAUUUAGCUGGUGGUUUUGAUACCACUGGACUCUUCUGAAUGGUCUGGACGUCCGUUGGAGAGAGAAAGGCACUGAAGAAAUUUUCAGAUUCAUCUACCACAGUUCUCCGAACUGGCUUUGUUAUUGCUUUAGGAGAGGCUACAGGCUGACUCUGAGGUUCACUGUUUGAUUUUAACCCCCAGGUUGAAGUAUCCCAUCCUCCACUGACAGGGAGACUUAUUCCU
rnacentral:lncRNA from 1 species